UCCUCUCUCAACCAAAUGAACAACUCGAUCAAGAUCUGUAAGUGCCUCAAAAACCCUAAUAAUUUAUUUUCAUUUUCUGUAUCAAUACUUCGUUCUUUAUGUAAUACUUUGAUUCGGAAUAGGAUCAUCGAAGGAGGAGAUUUGGAACCCCUUUCUCAACAAAACCCUUCUUUUCCUUUUUCCUAUCAAGGUUAGAUUUUUUUUCAAUUUCAAAACCACAUCAGAUGCAGAUUCUAUUUGUUACUCAUAAAACCCUUUAACCCAAAUCUGAUUAUUUCAAUUCGAUGAACAAGGUUUCCUCCUAUAUAACUAAUUGAGAAAGUGAAGCUCAACAUACAGGUUUUGAGAGAUGAAGGUGUCCCUCAAUCAAAUAUUGUCAAGUAUCUAAUCAACCGACCGACAUUGCUGAUGAUAAGCACUAUCAAAUUUAAGGACAUUGCACAAGAGAUUAAGGGUAUAGGUUUUGAUCCUUACAGAACUGCAUUUCUUAGUGCUAUUCUAAAUCUACCUGGGAAACAAAACUGAAGAAAUGGGGUUGGUCAGAAGCUCAAAUUCAAAUUGCAUUUAUGUACGAUUUUGACAGCUAAGGGUCUUAUAAAGGAUAAAUUCGCCUUAUAUACAAUUUUGCAUAUGGGUCUUAGACAAGUUCGUCAUCAAGUAUGGGGUUGGUCAGAAGCUCAAAUUCAAAAUGCAUUUAUGUUACAUCGGUAGUGUAUGAAGCACUCUGAGAAGAAGAUAUCGAUGACAAUGCGUUACCUUGUGAAUCAAAUGCGUAUUGCCAGUGCCAGAUGCCCAAUGAUUUGGCAUUAUAGCUUCAAUGAUUUGGCAUUAUACCAAGGCUUCUGUUCACCGAAUUUCAACAGAUAAGGGUCUGAUAAAGGAUACAAUUUUCUUACAAACAAUUUUGCAUAUGGGUAAGGAGUCUUUCCUAGGCAAGCUUGUCAGCAAGUUUGAGCAAGAAGCUCCUGAACUUUUGAAGGUCAAAGAACUUUCAUGAGAAAUUUUUGCCUGAUGUAGAUGUAACAGCUCAAUUAUACUUUCACAAAAUUUAUCUGGGAAAGGUAAGUCCUUCCCGGACAGGUUCUUGAGACCAUAUGAACAAGAAGCUCCUGAAUUGAUGAAGGUAUUCCAAGAUGAGUUGAAUAUCCGAGAGCUGCUACUGACACGAAGGGUUUGAGGAGUUGAUAACUCAUUACAGGUAUGUACUUUCUCUUUCUUUGUUCAGUUGGUGCCCCUCUUUAACAUUUUUGUUAUAUUAUGCUUGUUUAUGUUUGUUUUGUUGGUUCCGAAAUGAAAAUUGUUUUAUCUUUGAUUUGCAUGAAGAAUUUAUGUCACCAUAGUUAUAUGCUCUAUCAUCACUAAGCUUAUCUGUCUUGAACUACUUUACCAGAUGCCUGAAUUUCUGUUGUGAUUCCCAAGGAAGUCAAUUUUUUAGAGGUUAUGUGAUGGGUUGCCCCUGUAUCAGUCAAAACCUUAUGUGAUGCCCGGUAUAAGAAAAGUGUAGUUUGGUAUGGUAACUAGUAAAAUGUUAGGCAACUGAUCCAUUCCAAAAGGGAACCACCAAUGCAGCAUACUAGAUGGUUUAACAUGUUCCAACACCAUCAUUGAUAACCUUAUCUGUAUGGUCGUGACGCUAGUGACAAAACUCUGUUUGGCCAUUCAGCUUAUGUAGAAUUUGAUCCAUUUAUUUGCAUUCCUUGAAUAGUUCCCAGAUAACUACUCGGUAAUUGAUAAUGAAGAAGCUUAUCGAAUAAUAACUGCAGGGUUGUGUUGGACUUGCUAAGGAUAAAUUCUGAUGCAGGUUUUAGAUUUAUCUCCCCAUUCCACUCUAUGGGCUUUUCCUCUCCCCUUCUUUUUUGUUGCAUAUAAUGAACUGCAGAGUUGCACUGGACUUGCAAAUGAUAGAAUGAGGAAUUCGAUAAAAUUUUGAAUGGUUGUGCAACACUAUGCUCCUGAAACAAAUCAUGUCUUAUAAAAGAGAUUUUUGAUUUUUAGGGUCGUGGAUACAAUAUUGGGUGGUGCCACUGUCAGUCUGAAACUGCGUGGACAAUAAGUAACAAAUAUAAAUGUAUUUAACAACCUAAAAUUAAUCUUCAAUUAUGAUUAUUCACAUUCACAUACAAACUUUGAUUUUCACACUUCAAUAAAGAGUACUGGUGACAGAUGUAUUAACUAAUACAAAAAUUAAAUCUUCACUUUGAAAAGAAAAACAAUUAUAUGGUGAAAAAAGCUGUCCCUUAUCUGUAAGAGCAAAAGAAGAGAACAGCGGGGAAAAUUAAGAUUGGGAAGAUUAUACAGCCUCUGUAUCUCGUUGAACUUCCUUGUUCAGGAGAGCCCAAUGAAGAACCGAAUCGGAAAACACCUCAAAAAACCUAGAGAUGCCAGCUCAACACCACUCAUUUCACUCAAGAAAACAAUCUAAAAAAAUGGUGGAACCAAAUGAGGAAUUCAACAUAGCUCACAUGUAGUGAAUGUUUUUGUUUCCACUGUUGAUGGACCAUGAAGACGAACAAAAGAGAGUAGAUCUGGCUGUUGAUAUUUAGGGUUAGAGAUUGUUUUUCUUUCACCGAGAAAAGAAAAAGAGGACACCACUUUCUUCUUAUAAGGCAUCUGGACGGCUAUGAUGUUUUCAUGAAUACAUAUGGAAAGGUUAUGAAGGGUUGGAUUACCCUGUAAGGAGAUGGCCAAGGGAAAACCCUAGAAGCAGCCACACCUUAGGGCCCAUAUCCAGGCCCAUUCUCUUGCCCGGAUAUAUCCUUUGAAUUUUGCCAAACACUCACCAUCAGAAUUCGUUUCCUCUCUCUCUCCACCAAGUGAACUCGGCCGAGACCUGUAAGUGCGAUUCUAAAACCCUAAUAAUUUAUUUUCAUUUUUCCGUAUCAGUAUUUCGUUCUUUAUACUUUUAUUCGGAAUCGGAUCAUCAAUGGAGGAGAUUUGGAACCCCUUUCUCUACAGAACGCUUCUUUCCUUAUUCCUAUCAAGAUUUGCGGUUCUCCAAUGAACAAGGUUUCCUCCUAUGUAACAAAUUGAGAAAGUGAAGCUCAACAUACAGGUUUUGAGAGAUGAAGGUGUCGCUCAAUCAAAAUAAUGUCAAGUUUCUAAUCAACCAACCGACAUCACUGAUGAUAAGCACUAGUAAAUUUAAGGACAUGUCACAAGAGGUUAUGGGUAUGGGUUUUGGGCAUUACAAAACUGCAUUGCUUAGUGCUAUUCAGGCAAUCACAGCGAGGAAAUGGGGUUGGUCAGAAGCUCAAAUUCAAAAUGCAUUUAUGUUACAUCCGUAGUGUUUGAAGCACUCCGAGAAGAAGAUUACGAUGACAAUGGAUUACCUUGUGAAUCGUAUUGCCAGAUGCCCAAUGAUUUUGCAUUAUCUCUUGGAGAAGACGAUUAUACGGAGGCUUCCUGUUCACCGAAUUUCAACAGCUGAGGGGUCUGAUAAAGGAUAAAAUUUUCUUACAAACAAUUUUGCAUAUGGGUAAGGAGUCUUUCCUAGGCAAGUUUGUCAGCAAGUAUGAGCAAGAAGCUCCUGAACUAUUGAAGGUCAAAGAACUCUCAUAAGAAAUUGUUGGCUGAUGUUGAUGUCACAGCUCAAUUAUACAAAGAUUUCUCUGGGAAAGAUAAGGCCUUUUCAGACAGGUUUUUGAAACCAUUUGAAGAAGAAGCUCCUGAGUUGAAGGUAUUCCAAGAUCAGUUGAAUAUCCAAGAGCUGCUUCUGACAUGAAGGGUUUGAGGAGUCGAGAACUCAUUAUAGAUACAUAUGUGGUUUUUCUUUUUUUUUGUUUAGUUGGUGCCUCUCUUCAAUGUUUUACUUGUAUGCUUGUUUAUGUUUCGUUUGUUGGUAUGAAAUGAAAAUUGACACCUUUGAUGUACAUGAAGAAUUUAUGUCAUAAUAGUUGGUGCAUGCUUUAUCAUCACUAAGCUUAUCUAUAUAGGUUUACUUUACGAGAUGUCUGAAUUUCUGUUGUGAAAUCAAAGGAAGUCAAAUUUUGAGAGGGUAUGUGAUGGGUUACCCCUGCAUCAGUAUGAUUGAUUAGGGUGUUCAUUACCAUACUUAGAAUUCAAUUAAGCUCUCUAUAUAUCAUCGUCAAUCACGAAAUUCAACCAAUCAAGUUAGAUCUUUGUAUGAAGUUUAUCAAUUUUUUCUGUACAAAUGAUCUUAUGCUCCUGUAACCUUAUGAUAGACCUAAUCAUAGUCAAAAUGCUGUUGAACCUAGUAAACCGGAACUCUUUAAUUGUAUAAUACCUAUAGAUUUUUGAUGGAAGUGUUGGUGUGAUAUGCUGAAGUCUUCUGGUGUUCUUGUUUUAGACUGGCUUCUCAUUCUUAAUGGCAUUGUUCGUAAAAGGAAUACUGUUAGGCCUUUGUAAAUGCAUUACAUAUAUGCCUAUAAAUCAAAAUGCUGGCAUCAUAAUUAUCCUCACUGUCAAAUAUGCAGCACAUCAUAUCAUGGAACCUCAUGCUUUGCUUGCAAGUACUUAUACGCUGUGGAGAAAGGAAAUUCAUCCAACUCUGGCUGCUCGAAAUCAGAAGUUACUGAAGAAGCAAUGUUGUGCAACCCAGGUUAGAAUGAAGGAGAUUGGUAUUCCAAUUGCUUCAAAUGCCAUCUUUGCAAUCAGAAAAUAGAGACUCUGGAUUAUAUUCUUUGGUUCUGUGAGUUCUCAAAGUAAUGUGGAAAAUAGAGAAUUUGGAUUAUAUUCUUUGGUUCAGAAAAUGUUUCAUGAUCUGUGGGUAACAACCUACCUAGUGGUUAGAGCUGAACUAUGUAAACUGCACAAUGCCAUUGCUUUUGAUGGUGCAAAAGUGCCUUAAUAUCAAAAUCAAGGUGGAUUUGAUGAUUCA